rnacentral:rRNA from 1 species
GACGAACGCUGGCGGCGUGCCUAAUACAUGCAAGUCGAGCGAAGCGGCGGAUGGGUGAGUAACGCGUGGGUAACCUGCUCUUAAAUCUGGGAUACCAUUUGGAAACAGAUGCUAAUACAGGAUACCAAAGGAUGGACCUUCUAUGCAUUAGCUAGUGGGUAAGGUAACGGCUUACAAAGGCGACGAUGCAUAGCCGAGUUGAGAGACGGAUCGGCCACAUUGGUACUGAGACACGGCCCAAACUCCUACGGGAGGCAGCAGUAGGGAAUCUUCCACAAUGGACGAAAGUCUGAUGGAGCAACGCCGCGUGAUUGAAGAAGGUUUUCGGAUCGUAAAGCUCUGUUGUUGGUGAAGCGGUAAUCAACCAGAAAGUCACGGCUAACUACGUGCCAGCAGCCGCGGUAAUUC